UUAUUUUCCAAAUGAGCAAUUCAAUUAGAGGCACAGCGAGAGCUGGCACCCUGGAUCUGGAGGCUCCUAAGUGGAGGCUCCCACAGGUCUGAGGCUGCUGCAGCUGGAGCCCUCUGGCCAGCAGUGUGGGGAGAGCACUGCGCUCAGGCAGUGCUGCAGCACGGGGAUGUUGUGUCACCCAUGCUUGUACACAUGCUAGAGCAAAAGUCAGCCUAUCUAACCGUGAGGGCACUCUCGGUCCUUCUGUGGCUCUGAACAUCUGACUUUCCUUACCUCCGUUCUAAUUGUGACAAGAAAGCUGCAGAGCGUGAGGUUGUGAUAAGCACCGGUGUGUACUGCUAUCGUGUGGAUGUCAUGAUGUGUAAGCAAAGGGAUCAGGCUUGUGGCCAGGUGGAAGGUUUGCCUCCAGAGCACGUGGAACUGAGAAGGAUGCUCAGUGUCAGAGUUUCUGUGGAAUGGGUCAAUAAGCCCACCUCAGGGCUGUUCAGAUUUUUUUCCUCCUCUCCCUUUCCAUAUGGGGAAGAAUAAAGUGAAGAAACAACAUUUUCAGAGAAGAAAGACUUGGAAAGAGUUUCUGUUUUCUGGGAGUCUGCUACAGCUGUUAAUUUGUGGAAAACCUCAGUGGAAAGUAAGCAAUAUGGCAGCAUCACUUUACACGAGAAUUCAGUGAUGGCCUUGCUCCAAGCUGUGGCUGAUUUAGGUUCUUGGCUUGCGCAGCCAAAGCUUCAUGUAGUGUCAUGCUUUUUUAUAGAUAAUGUUGAUACAGCUGUGGAAGGCUCUGAUGUUCUUUUUUUUUUUUUUAACAUGGAAUUGUCGUCAUUCAAUCAAGCUUAAGUAUUGUGGAGCUGUGAUGUUGUUUGUCUUUGGUUGUUAGUUGUUGGCGGGUGAGUCCGAGACGGGCCGAGAUGUUGUUUGGGAAAAAGAAAAGACUCCCUCCCUUCCUCCCUGCCUUCUCCACAGAAAUGCACACAGACCAUAACUUCCAUCCAAAAAUGCAGGAAUGCUGAGAAAAAUUGGAGCUGGACUCGAACAUUGCGGGCUGGGCUCCCCCACUCCCCGGCCUCUCCAAAGCACGCACGCUCUUCUCUUCCUGUAGACUUUGUUCCUCUCCAGCAUUUGUCAUGCAUAGUUGGUGGCACAUCAAGAUUUUGAAUACUGUACUGAAUGCAACAACCUCUUUUUUUCUUGGAUGGACAUUUUGUUUGCGGGGAAUACAGCAUGGUGCUCAGCUGUCUGGACAGAAAUGAACAUUGAAUGAAAUGAAAUUUUCAGCUAUGUGACAGCUAUUAGAUCAGAGAUUAGUUUUCCAGUAGAAAUGUCCAAUUAUUUAAACCUCUCCGGUAGAUGAAAGAGCUUUUGACAAUCUGUUUUGCUGAAAAGCCCUGCAAUUCGUUUGGCAUAGAUUAGAUGACCUAUUAGAGAUGAGAAAAAGGGAAAAGGAUUUAUAAUUAAUGUCAGCCCAGCUGUUAACUUGGGGAGUAUUGCUGAGUUGUAGCACAAGACGUAUCUUUCAGCUAUUUCUGCAGUGACGAUUCAUGUGUAUAUUGCAACAUGUGUCAGCAGCCUUCUGUACAGCUGUGCUGGGUUGAAGGGACUAGAGUUCCCCAUUCCUAGGUAACGCAUUAGCAUGCACUGCUGCUUCUCCAAGGCCCUGCCUCCUUUUUGAAAGCAGGCUAUUAUGAAUGGGUAAGCCCCAUGUUUUUCCAGUGCUACCUUGUCACACAAUGACUGAUCCGCUCACCUCCGUAUCUCUGGGCUAUAUGACUUUGAGUGUAUCUUCCUUGCCAACUUGGCAAGGUAUCGUGUUUCUUUCCCUGAGGGUGACUUAGGGCAGAAUCCUUGAAUCCUUCAGAGUUUCCUGGAGCAUCUGGAAAGAAGAGGAAAACCAGAGAUGGGCCAGAAAGAGGCAGGCAGAGAAAGAUGAAAGAAUUUGGGGGUGGGAAGUACUUGCUUUUGGAAUAAUCUUCCUCCUAGAUGGCCUAAGGCAAAGUAAUUUACACUUUUUGGUAACGUGCAGGAUGGCCCAGCCCUUGCUCUUAUGAGUAAACAUUUCAAAGGUGCCUGCAGGGCCCUCUAUUUAUGUUUUUAUAAGCUACUUAGUCUCCUUUGAGUCUCGGGCUAUAUCCUCACUGCCAAUAGUGGAGUUAGCUCGAAGUGUAGUAGUGUCUUUUGGAGACACCUGAGCUAGACUGAAGCAGCUCAGCUGCGAGAAGUAGUUUACUCCACAGCAGCGCAUAUGUCAAAGCACUGUACCUGCCCGACGCAUUAUCUUGUCCUGUGCCAACUCUUGUUUCAAGUAAGGCUUUCACUGCAACCCUGCCUUCUCUGCAGCUGCCCACUGAAGCUCAAGGACAUAAAACAGUCACAGUAGGGUAUGGGGUUGGGAGCUGGAGUCACUUUGGUGCUUUCGAAAACGUUUUUUAUGGCUAAACCCACAUUCCCUGUUAGCACUGUUAAAUGCUUUCCUGUUUUCCUCUUCCCCUUGAACUCACACUGCUGUUCUAACCGAGAAUCGUGUUUUGUUUCUAAUGACAGAGCAAAGGUGCCAAAAUAUUUCAGUAGCUCCCCUAGGAACAUCUGCAACUUCUUUAGCUAUUUUCACAGCUGGCCAUAACUUUAUAUUAUUUCUGAAUGCUCAUAGCACCAAAUCUGGGAUCCUGGAGGAGAACAAUGGCUAAUUUCCUUGUAUUGGAAUUUAGAAUUUGCAAAACGAUGCACUAGCAACUUUGAAUAAAUGCUGAGAGACAGAGCUAUGAGGGAUUUUGUCAUUUGGAAGGCAAAGUUGCUAAACUCCAAACAGAGCUUAGACUGAUCUUCUGACACAGGGUAAAGCUGGGGUUGGGUGAGGUCAAAACCUGUAGAAAUUUCAACUGAUAUCACAACUACUGCUGAUAUUCAUGCUGCCCAUGUAGAAGAAGCUCCAUUGGAUCACUGCCUCCACUAUGGUUGCUGUCAUCUUUGAUGGAAAUAAGAAGAGUACAUUCUUACAGCUCUAAUGUGAGACUGAGUUCUUGGGACUGGAAUUAAGUCUGGGGGUUCGAACUUCCACUCAGUAAAAUUCCUGUGGACCUUUAAUUGCCGCUCUGAUUUAUUAGUUGUGCUUAGCUGGUCUAAAAGUGAAAACAAUCUCAAGGUAUUUAAUCAAUAUAUUGAUCUAUCGCUCAUAA
ensembl:lncRNA